UCCAGGUCCCUGUUGGAGUCAGUCAGAGCAUUUCCAUAGAGAGACACUUUGCAUCAGCAGCACCAUGCUCCAGUGCUCUGGGAGACCUUAUAGUCCUGAGAGUUGAACACUGGAUGACUGACAGCUGUCCUUCAUGACAACAGAAGCCACAGAAAUCCUCCUCAUCAAAAACAUGACUUUGAUCUGCGUCCUCAUCUGGACUCUCCUCUGCUGCUGCUUCACAGAGUCCAGAGGCCAGGUCACAGUGACUCAGUCUGGAGCAGUGAGCUCUGCUGCGGGAAGCUCCGUCUCCAUCACAUGUACGACCAGUUCCCAUGUUCAUGCUGGGAAGUGUUUAGCCUGGUACCAACAGAGAGAUGGAGGAACUCCUAAACUUCUUGUUUAUUAUGCUACCACUCGAGCAUCAGGGAUUUCAGAGCGUUUUACAGGCAGUGGAUCAAACUCUGACUUCACUCUGACCAUCAGUGGAGUCCAGACUGAUGAUGCAGCAGUUUACUACUGUCAGAGUUUCCAUUACCCCAACAGUCAGUAUGUGUUCACACAGUGAAAAAGCGUCGUACAA